rnacentral:lncRNA from 1 species
AAAUAUUUCUGGACUCUGAAGAGUGGACUAAGUCCAUCAGGGAAGAACAUACCUAGAGAAAGCACUGACUUGGACAAAGGCUCCUGGGCUAUUCAUUAUGCGAAGGAGGAGCUGAAGCGUGGGGGUGACGGCUGGCUUCCAGAAGGAGCAUGGACUGGAAUUCCAGGCGGAGUGUGGGCCAGGGUGUAUAUAAAGAUUAGUGUUCGGGUGCAAAGAGUCAAUUGAUGAGUGGCCAAUAAACAGAGGGAAGGAAAGCAGGGUAUAAUCCAAUAAUAUACAUUAAAACAUUUUCUGAAGUUAGAAAAUUGGUAAAAACUUUAAAAAUAGAAUUAAAAAAUUAAAAAUUAAAAAAUUA